AUUGAACGCUGGCGGCAGGCCUAACACAUGCAAGUCGAACGAGUGGCGGACGGGUGAGUAAUGUCUGGGAAACUGCCCGAUGGAGGGGGAUAACUACUGGAAACGGUAGCUAAUACCGCAUACCAUCGGAUGUGCCCAGAUGGGAUUAGCUAGUAGGUGGGGUAACGGCUCACCUAGGCGACGAUCCCUAGCUGGUCUGAGAGGAUGACCACCCACAUGGGAACUGGGAACGGGCCCAGCCCCCUAGGGGGGGAAGAAGUGGGGAAUAUUGCAAAGGGGGGAAAGGCCGGAUGAGGCCAGGCGGGGGGUAUGAAAAGGGCUUCGGGGUUUAAAAGUAGUUUCAGCGAGGAGAGGUACUCGCAGAAGAAGCACCGGCUAACUCCGUGCCAGCAGCCGCGGUAAUAC
rnacentral:rRNA from 1 species